rnacentral:lncRNA from 1 species
CUGCAUAGGUAACCAUGAAAUGCCAAGUGUAAUGAUUUUUGCUUCUCUUCCUUCUUCCAGUUCUGCCACGAGUUCCUCUGACUGGCAGUUUCUAACCUGGCACUGUUCAGGUCAGAAGUGCGAUUUCCUUAUGAUGUAAAAAAUCUCUCAACCUCAGUAUCAAAAUAAUGGAAAACAAAAGAAUACUGUAUCCUUAUCUAAAAAGAACAGUGCUUUCAAAGUUGUUAGUUAAGUCAUUGUAAAGUGAUGACUUAAGUCAUUUAUGUUCUGGGGAAAAAUAAAAGAAUUACUGAUUUGUCGUAUUUGCUUAACAUGACAAAUUUUACAAAAACAGGUUGGGUC